rnacentral:rRNA from 1 species
CCCUUAGAUGUUCUGGGCAGCACGCGCGCUACAAUGGUCUUCGCAAACGGAUGCAUUCUCGAAGGAGAAUGCCAAUCUUGGAAUCUAUGCCUUGGUCGGGACAGUUGCUUGCAAUUUUUCGACUCGAACCAGGAAUUCCUGGUAAUCGUGAUUCAUCACAUCACGAUGAAUACGUCCCUGCCCUUUGUACACACCGCCCGUCGCUCCUACCGAUCGAAGAGUUAGGUGAAUUGUUUUGAUCGAUAAGAUUUGACUAUGGUCAACUCUCGUUGUGAAAUUCUGUGAAUCUGACUGUUUAGAGGAAGGAAAAGUCGUAACA